rnacentral:lncRNA from 1 species
GGGAAUGAGACAUAUAUCGGAUGCAAAGUUCUUAGAGAGAACUGAGAAAACCAGCCAGCACACGAUUCCAGUAAGAUGGGAGAGAGUUGAAAUCUGAGACAAGAGAGUGAAAAGAGGAGGAAUGUGACAAGAAGAAGAGAAUACAAAAAUCUGCCUCAAGAAAAGGUAAGCACAAUAAAUGUGAGCCUCUUUAUAUCAGGAAGUAUAUGACAGUCUGCAGCAUCUGGAGAAGUAGCAUGCACACUCCUGAGAAUAACGGUGACGCAGUCCCUUGCUCUGGGAAAAGAGAGCAGAAGAAUGAACGAGAGAGAAAAAAAGAAAAGAAUAGGGGACAAAGAAUGCAAUGCCAACCUGGGAAGAAUUGUAAUUCACACAGGAGGGCCUUAACUGUUAGGUGAAAAUUGACCUUUUGAGUGAGAAAAUGGAUAUUGUGAUUCUUUAUGUGGCUGUGUGCAGAUGUGAUGUGACUUGUCUUUCUCCAGUACAACAGCUGGUACGGAAGUUCUAAAAAGGCUUAUAGAGCCCAUUUACUGGAAAAGGAAUGGGUUUGGAGGCAUAUUUGGUCAAGAAGCUUCUAGAGGCGUUGCCAUCAUGGCUCAGUAGUGAUGAAUUCGACUAGUAUCCAUGAGGAUGCAGGUUCAAUCCAUGGCCCUCUCAGCCUAGCCUGGGAACUUCCAGGUGCCGCAGAUGCAGCCCUAAAAAGACAAAAAAAAAAAAAGUUUCUAGAAAAAAAAGAACUUUUGGCAUAGGAAAAUUGUCAUUCAUUUUUUCCAGUUAAGUUCUGUGACUUUAGGUGAGUGAUAAGAAUUUAAAAGUUUAGAACUAGUUACCAAGAUGGGAUCUGAGAAUGGGAUUUAAGUCUCUAAAUCAUGGUUACAAAUAAUAAGAAGAUAGACUUUUAGCUAGGGAUAGGGCCCAUCUUAAUAGAACAGAAAAGCAAGCACUUGCCUGGUCUAGAGUUCUUUGAACUAAAUAUGGAGGAGAUGGAGAGAAGAGAAUAGAAAUGCCCAGCCCUCAGGAGAAGCACUGGUUAACAUGGAAAGAGGAUUUUGGGAGCUCCUUGGGUUUUGACAAAUGACAAUUGGCAGAGCACCAGAAAGAACACAUGAGGCUUUAGAUGUCCGUCCCUUGUGUAAAAUGGGUAUAGAUAGCAAACAAGGUGAACAAAAUCAGUCUAAGACCAUAAUCAGUGAGCAUGAAUUCAGAUGCAUCCCUCAGUGUUCUAUGCCAAAGCCCCCACUGGAAGUGCAGUGGCAGCAGGGGGGGGAUUAGAGGCGGUGUGUGUCAAGAAGCUACAUAUCUGGGAGGGAAUCCUUCUACCUGCUCGUGCAAGCAAACUGCAGAGUAGGAGGGAAGACGAAGGAAAAGAAAAGUGUUUCCUUGCUCUACAAGUAGAGUGGAGUUCAUCUGGUGAGAUGGAGGUAAUAAAUAUAACGCAUUCGUGCUGCAUAUCCUGAAACUGUCACAGAGAAAAUACAUGGUGGUGAUGGAGGAUUUCUGCCAGCCAGUCAUCUGCCUGCAUGUUUCACUUGGCUGAAGUGAAACCAAGUUCUUGUCUGGCCUUACUGAUGAUUAUAUUCACCAAGAAGUCAUUUCUGUAAGUCAGCUGUGCUCUUUCUCAUCUACUGUGGAUAAUCUGCUGGCUUCAGCUCAUUUGAACAGUAUUUUUUUUUGGGGGGGCACACCCAUAGUAUGUGGAAGUUCCCAGGCCAGGGGUCACACCUGAGCCACAGCAGCGACCCAAGCCACAGCAGUGUCAACAAUAGAUCCUUAACCACUAGGCCACCAACGAACUCCAUGAACACUUUUUCAGAAUAUAAAUAAAAUUUAUGUCUGACAGUCAGUUGACUAAAGCAGUGCAAAUAAGAUGUUAUUUUCCUAAUUUAGUAGCUUUUAUCCUGUUUGUCCUUCAGGUAGCUUUUGGAGUCUGCAUCCCUUCUCCCUUCCUUUUCCCUUUCAGUGGAGGAGGAAUUUUGAUUUUUCAUUCAGCGGUACAUGAAAUGCAGAGAAGAGAGCAAGGGCACUGUAGGGGAAAAUACAAGGGCAUACAAGGCAUGGUUUUUCAAAGUAGUGUGUGAAUAAGAAGAUGAAGAGGCCAGUUUGGCUGUAGUUGGCCGUAGUGUUGAUUCAAUGAGGGAAGUGAUGAGGCGUCAUCUUGGGAAGAUCGUUGGCAGUCAGAUUGUGAAAGCCUUGAGUGCCAACUUAAGUCGACUGAGUUUUAUAUUCAAAGUAUUGGCAGUCUGGAAAUGUUAGAGCGGGAAGUGAGAAGAUGACAAUGAUUUUUUAGGAGUAUUAACUGGGUUGCCAUGGCUAGCGUGCAUUUGUGGGCUCAAAGGGGUCUAGAUGCUGACCGCAGGCAAGCCAGAUGGAAUCAUAGAAUUGUGCAAGCAUGAGCUGAAAAAGGCCUGAACUAGACUGAUGAUAGUAAUAAGGAAAAAGAGAUGGAAAAGAGAGAUUAUGCAGAAGAAUUUUCAGGGUUCAGUUAGGGAGAGAACGGGGAAGUCAGAUCAUGCUGACGUUUGGAGUUCAGGGGAUAAUGAAAGAGAAGAUGAAAAAUGAAAUUAUUGACAUAUGACUUCCUGGUGUUGGCAGGAAAUCCAAGUGUGGAAGUCCAGGAAGCAAUCUGAGAUAAGAGAAGGCAGACAGGGUCAGAAACUGGAGGCAGAAAUACAGAUUUUGAAUUCAUUUUCAGAAAGCUCAUAGCUAAAGCUAUAGAAAUAUGAGCUUUACCUAAAACAUUCAUGCUGUUAGAACUAUUUUUGCUACAUGGUUUUCUUCCAGUGAAUAUCGUUUAAGCUAGGUUUUCUCAUGCCUUUAUCAGAGUUCAGUUGCAGGCAACAGGGUCCAGCCCAUUUAAGGGGAAAGAUAUUUGGCUAUUAAGAGGUUUGUGAGAUCAUAGUGGAGUCAGGUGAACAAAGAGUUUCUGGAUUGAACUUCCAGGAGUUACUCCCCAGAUAGCACUCUAGACAUGGGCAUUGGGUGAGAUGGCUACAGUUUUCCCUGCUCCAGGGGUCAAGAGGCGCCAUCGUGGGCGCUGACCACAAGACGAUGCUGCCUCAGUCUGGGUCAGGAAAGUGUACGCAGAACUCUGAAUUUCUCUUUAUGAGGGUGUUCCUGAAUCAAAAUCCAAAAACCCUAAAUUUAAAGGGACCAGGUGUUAUUUCUUAGCAUUCCAGCUUCUUCAUGCUAGAAGGCAAUAGGCCUUAAAGUUGACUAAGCCAAUUCACAAUUUCCAACACAGUGUUUCAGUCCCAUCUUACAUAAGUAUCUAGAAUCCGGCUGAACUUUGGAUUUUCACGACUCUCUUAAUCAGAUGAACGAGACUGCAACCCUGCCCUUUCUGUAGGCACAGUAUCCUGUUCUUCAUGGCCUUUUGUUUUUAUCAUGUUCUCCACAGAGCUAGUAGUCCAGGCGUGACAAUAAAAGCCAAGAUUCUGAGGGUGUUUCUAGGCUCAAUGAAAAAGCAUUCUGGGAUUGCUUAAUAAUGUCUGCUAAGGGAAGGAAAGGGGACAAUGGUACCUGCAGUUUGCUGUCUCCAUACUAGGUUGUUGCUUCGUUACUGAUAAGCUUAUUGCUUUGUGACUUAGGUAACUGUUCUUACAAGUUAGAAAAUAUAGCGAUUUUAAUAUUUUGGUGACUGGAAAUGUUUUCUACUAAUAGAAUGCUCACGAAGUCCUUUAUACCUUGAGUGUAUUAUGUAUUCAAACUAUUUUGUUUUUUAACUCUAGGUUUAUCCAGUCAUCCCUUCCUGCUUCCUCUAUGAUUCGUCCACUGAUUUUUUGCCCUAUCUUUUUCCCAAACUGCAGCCUUGGGAGGUCAGACCCCUCAGCUUGUGUCUGUGGGAGUGAGAAGAAAUGGCAUCCGGGCCACACAGGGAGGCGUGAGGUUGGAAAAGGCCUGCAGCUCAGCAGCUUCCAGCUUCCAGCAACAGGAGACUCGUGAGCCUGAGCGGAUGAACUCUCCUGCUGCCACCUGGAGGGGUUUCUCAUGUUCCGGGGACAUGGUGACAUCAACCUUCACUUUUCUGAACGUCUCUGCCUGCCCCUCUGCAUUCAUCCUUCACCGUCACUUGCUUGCUGACUCUUCAUUGACGACCCCCCCCCCUUCUCUAGACAGAAGUAGCUAUCCUUUCCUUGUAUCCUCAGAUUACUUGCCGCAUACACCCUCUGUUGUAGCAAAUAUCAAAUUACAUUUUAGUUGUCUAGGUACAGGUCAUACUUUCAGGCUGAGCUACUACUCAAAGGCAGAGGCUGCCUUUUUAAAACUACUGUUUAUUGAGUAUUUUACAUAUGUUAUCUCAUUCAGUUCUUACAAUAAGCCUAAGAGGAAACAGAGGCUCAGAGGGGUUAAAUAUCAUGCCCCACCAUAAGGUAAAUACCUGGCAGAAACAGGACUUGAAACUAGGUCAUGUUUUAUAUGUGCAUCUAGCACAGUGUCUUGGCAUCAGGUGUGUGUGUGGGAUGUCAAUAAAUGCUCAUCAAAUGAGUAAGUGGUUCAGUGAAUAAACUGUAUGCCGCAAACCACAAGGAAGCAUUUUGGCCACCAGCUGAAAACAAGUCCUUUCAGUUACUCUCACAGCUCUGAGCCUGCUGCAGACUUUCAUUCAAACCAGACCUUAAUACCUAGGAGAAGGCUAUAUCGCAAAAUCAGAUUACUGGAAACAAUGCAUCUGACUAUCUCGCUUAAGGCCAUUUACUGAGUCCAAUAAUGUGGUUCUCAUCAUAAUCAUCAUUUAAAGCUUUAAUUUGAAGUAUUACGCUGUGUCAGAAACAGACAAACAUGAAGAAUAGAUGAAAUAAGAGAAGCCUUCCUUUCAUCAUAUGAAUUGAACUUUAUCAUGCCCUGUGUUCAGAUGAGAAGUUUUCUUUUGCUAACUAAGACCUAACUAGGGAACUCGGAACAGAACAACACACUCCUUUAUGUUACGUUAAGUAUAACCUUCAUUGAUUACUAACUUUUGAUACCAAUAUCUUCCAGUGUCCCCAAAGUGUUGCUUGCUCUGACUUUAAAAAAUAAAGAUAUUGUCCAACGAGGCU